rnacentral:rRNA from 1 species
GACGGAGGAUGCAAGUGCUAUCCGGAAUCACUGGGCGUAAAGCGUCUGUAGGUGGUCAAAUAAGUCAACUGUUAAAUCUUGAGGCUCAACCUCAAAAUCGCAGUCGAAACUAUUAGACUAGAGUAUAGUAGGGGUAAAGGGAAUUUCCAGUGGAGCGGUGAAAUGCGUAGAGAUUGGAAAGAACACCGAUGGCGAAGGCACUUUACUGGGCUAUUACUAACACUCAGAGACGAAAGCUAGGGUAGCAAAUGGG